rnacentral:rRNA from 1 species
GGAAGCCCUUCGGGGUGGAAUUUUUAUAUCUUAGCGGCGGACGGGUGCGUAACACGUGGGUAACCUGCCCCUAUCACUGGGAUAACACACUGAAAAGUGUGCUAAUACCAGAUAAUAUAAGCUUUUGGCAUCAUUAGCUUAUCAAAGAAUUUCGGAUAGGGAUGGGCCCGCGUCUGAUUAGCUAGUUGGUGAGGUAACGGCUCACCAAGGCAACGAUCAGUAGCCGACCUGAGAGGGUGAUCGGCCACACUGGAACUGAGACACGGUCCAGACUCCUACGGGAGGCAGCAGUGGGGAAUAUUGCACAAUGGGCGAAAGCCUGAUGCAGCAACGCCGCGUGAGCGAUGAAGG